rnacentral:rRNA from 2 species
AACGGGUGAGUAACACGUGGGCAAUCUGCCCUGCACUCUGGGACAAGCCCUGGAAACGGGGUCUAAUACCGGAUACUGACCCGCUUGGGCAUCCAAGCGGUUCGAAAGCUCCGGCGGUGCAGGAUGAGCCCGCGGCCUAUCAGCUUGUUGGUGAGGUAAUGGCUCACCAAGGCGACGACGGGUAGCCGGCCUGAGAGGGCGACCGGCCACACUGGGACUGAGACACGGCCCAGACUCCUACGGGAGGCAGCAGUGGGGAAUAUUGCACAAUGGGCGAAAGCCUGAUGCAGCGACGCCGCGUGAGGGAUGACGGCCUUCGGGUUGUAAACCUCUUUCAGCAGGGAAGAAGCGAAAGUGACGGUACCUGCAGAAGAAGCGCCGGCUAACUACGUGCCAGCAGCCGCGGUAAUACGUAGGGCGCGAGCGUUGUCCGGAAUUAUUGGGCGUAAAGAGCUCGUAGGCGGCUUGUCACGUCGGUUGUGAAAGCCCGGGGCUUAACCCCGGGUCUGCAGUCGAUACGGGCAGGCUAGAGUUCGGUAGGGGAGAUCGGAAUUCCUGGUGUAGCGGUGAAAUGCGCAGAUAUCAGGAGGAACACCGGUGGCGAAGGCGGAUCUCUGGGCCGAUACUGACGCUGAGGAGCGAAAGCGUGGGGAGCGAACAGGAUUAGAUACCCUGGUAGUCCACGCCGUAAACGGUGGGCACUAGGUGUGGGCGACAUUCCACGUCGUCCGUGCCGCAGCUAACGCAUU